GACGAGCCGUGCGAACGUUAUUCGGAAUCACUGGGCUUAAAGCGCGUGUAGGCGGGAGGGCACGUCCGUCGCUGAAAUCCCCCGGCUCAACCGGGGAACGGGCGCGGAUACGACCUUCCUGGAGGGGCGUAGGGGGACCUGGAACUUCCGGUGGAGCGGUGAAAUGCGUUGAGAUCGGAAGGAACGCCCGUGGCGAAAGCGAGGUCCUGGACGCCUACUGACGCUGAGACGCGAAAGCCAGGGGAGCGAACGGG
rnacentral:rRNA from 1 species